rnacentral:rRNA from 1 species
GUAACGAGUACAGAGAAGUCAGGGUUGGUUCUGGAGAGGCCGCCUGAGAAACGGCGACCACUUCCAAGGAAGGCAGCAGGCGACGCAAAUUACCCACUCUCAAAACGAGGAGGUAGUGAAGAGAAAUAACGAUGUUAGUCUUUUUUAGGCUGACAAUCGGAAUGGAAAAACUCUAAAAAGGUUAUUGAUUAACAAUUGGAGGGCAAGUCUGGUGCCAGCAGCCGCGGUAAUUCCAGCUCCAAUAAGGAAAACUAAAGUUGCUGUGUUUAAAAAGCUCGUAGUUGAAUUUCGGGUAUUUGUUGCUAGUUGGUCUUUUCGGCCAUAUUGGUUAACAGAUCCUCACUUGCUGGACGGCUGGCGAUGAUCUUUAUCGGUUGUCGUCAGUUGCCAGAACGUUUACUUUGAGAAAAUUAGAGUGCUAAAAGCAGGCUCACGCCUAUAUAUAUUGCAUGGAAUAAUGAAAUAAGAUCUCGAUUUUAUUUCGUUGGUUUUUAGAAAUUGAGAUAAUGAUUAAUAGGAUCAGAGGGGGGG